rnacentral:rRNA from 1 species
AUGACAAGUCGAACGGACAGCGACGGAGCAAUCCGUGGUGGCGAGUGGCGAACGGGUGAGUAAUAUAUCGGAACGUGCCCAGUCGUGGGGGAUAACGUAGCGAAAGCUACGCUAAUACCGCAUACGAUCUACGGAUGAAAGCAGGGGAUCGCAAGACCUCGCGCGAUUGGAGCGGCCGAUAUCAGAUUAGGUAGUUGGUGAGGUAAAAGGGCUCACCAAGCCGACGAUCUGUAGCUGGUCUGAGAGGACGACCAGCCACACUGGGACUGAGACACGGCCCAGACUCCUACGGGAGGCAGCAGUGGGGAAUUUUGGACAAUGGGCGCAAGCCUGAUCCAGCAAUGCCGCGUGCAGGAUGAAGGCCUUCGGGUUGUAAACUGCUUUUGUACGGAACGAAACGGUGAGCUCUAAUACAGUUUGCUAAUGACGGUACCGUAAGAAUAAGCACCGGCUAACUACGUG